GAUGAACGCUAGCGGGAGGCUUAAUACAUGCAAGUCGAACGGUAAGGUCAGAGCUUGCUCUGAUACACGAGUGGCGCACGGGUGAGUAACGCGUACGCAACCUACCCUUAAGAGGGGGAUAGCCCUGGGAAACUGGGAGUAAUCCGCCAUGUGGUAUGGAUUUCGAGUGGGAUUCAUAUUAAAACUACGGUGCUUAAGGAUGGGCGUGCGUUAGAUUAGCUAGUUGGUAAGGUAACGGCUUACCAAGGCAACGAUCUAUAGGGGGCGUGAGAGCGUGAUCCCCCACACGGGUACUGAGACACGGACCCGACUCCUACGGGAGGCAGCAGUAAGGAAUAUUGGACAAUGGGCGAGAGCCUGAUCCAGCCAUCCCGCGUGAAGGAAGACGGCCCUCUGGGUUGUAAACUUCUUUUAUAUACCAAGAAACGCCCUUACGUGUAAGGGUUUGACGGUAGUAUAUGAAUAAGCACCGGCUAACUCCG
rnacentral:rRNA from 1 species